rnacentral:rRNA from 1 species
UACGUAGGGGGCUAGCGUUGUCCGGAAUCAUUGGGCGUAAAGAGCGUGUAGGCGGUCCGGUAAGUCCGUUGUGAAAGUCAGGGGCUCAACCCUUGAAUGCCGGCGGAUACUGUCGGGCUAGAGUCCGGAAGAGGCAAGUGGAAUUCCCGGUGUAGCGGUGAAAUGCGCAGAUAUCGGGAGGAACACCUCUGGCGAAGGCAGCUUGCUGGGACGGUACUGACGCUGAGACGCGAAAGCGUGGGGAGCAAACAGG